rnacentral:rRNA from 1 species
GACGAACGCUGGCGGCGUGCUUAACACAUGCAAGUCGAACGGAAAGGCCUCUUUCGGGGGGUACUCGAGUGGCGAACGGGUGAGUAACACGUGAGUAACCUGCCCUUGACUUUGGGAUAACUUCAGGAAACUGGGGCUAAUACCGGAUAGGAGCUCCUGCUGCAUGGUGGGGGUUGGAAAGUUUCGGCGGUUGGGGAUGGACUCGCGGCUUAUCAGCUUGUUGGUGGGGUAGUGGCUUACCAAGGCUUUGACGGGUAGCCGGCCUGAGAGGGUGACCGGCCACAUUGGGACUGAGAUACGGCCCAGACUCCGACGGGAGGCAGCAGUGGGGAAUAUUGCACAAGGGGUGGAAGCCUGAUGCAGCAACGCCGUGUGCGGGAUGACGGCCUUCGGGUUGUAAACCGCUUUCGCUCAUGACGAAGCUUUGUGUGACGGUAGUGGGUAAAGAAGCACCGGCUAACUACGUG